ACAAAACAAAACAAAAAAUAAAAAAUUAAAAAAUUAAAAAAAAUUCGCCUGCUGCUGCCACCGCUGCCCUCGCCACCUGCUGCCACCACCCAGCCGGAGAGGACUUCGUAGAAGGUGACUUCUAGUCUUAAGGUGGCCAACCAAUUCGUGUACUCAAGAUUAAUCACAGGUUUUUACACAAACUGAACUUGCAUCAAGGUGAUGAGAUUUUGAGUGGAGCAUUGGUUAAUCUCUUAGCUUAUUUCAUUUCAUAAAUUGAUUUUAUUUUGACACUAAUUCUAUUUACUUCCUAUUUUACUGGGUUUUGAAUAAGGGUCGUUAUGG